rnacentral:tRNA from 1 species
CAGAGAAUAGUUUAGGUGAAAAUAUUAAUUUUGGGGAUUAAUGAAAAAGUAUUACUUUUUCUCUGA